CUGCCUCACCCUCCUUAAGUCAAUUCAGCCAACCCAAUGCUAUCCUGUCCCUGGCCUUGAGUGUGGCUCUUUCUGAGGCUUGUGGCACUGUGCCUCCUGCCCACAGACCUUUGGGAGGUCCCCUUUGAGGAAAUCCUGGACCUGCAGUGGGUGGGCUCAGGGGCCCAGGGUGCUGUCUUCCUGGGGCGCUUCCACGGGGAGGAGGUGGCUGUGAAGAAGGUGCGAGACCUCAAAGAAACCGACAUCAAGCACUUGCGAAAGCUGAAGCACCCCAACAUCAUCACUUUCAAGUGAGGUCCAGGGCAGGGGCUGGGUGUUGGGGAUACUAUGCUAAGGCCUGGUACCCUCCUGGGCAGUGGGACCUACCCCAUCCUUCCCCAGAGGAGAUCCAUAGGUGGAAUGGGUGGGAAUGGGGGUUCCAGGUAUGAAUCAGGUGAAUGCUGAGCCAGCUGAGGCCUUCAUACCAUUGUUUGGCUCCCAGGGGUGUGUGCACCCAGGCUCCCUGCUACUGCAUCCUCAUGGAGUUCUGCGCCCAGGGCCAGCUGUAUGAGGUACUGCGGGCUGGCCGCCCUGUCACCCCCUCCUUACUGGUUGACUGGUCCAUGGGCAUCGCUGGUGGCAUGAACUACCUGCACCUGCACAAGAUUAUCCACAGGGAUCUCAAGUCACCCAAGUGAGUAAGCAAGCAGGGAGCAACAGAUGUGCAUGCAGGUGACCCACUCAAGUCAGUGUGGCCUUCUCCCGGCUUCCAAACCAUGCCCUAGGUCCAUGUGGCCAUCUCAGAAACCUCUUCCAAGUGACAGUCCCAUCUCAGAAGGGCUGUAGUGAGCCCCUCACCUUUGAGUGUCCCAAAUGAUUUUAAACUGAAAGGCAGGCCGGAUGCAGUGGCUCACGCCUGUAAUCCCAACACUUUGGGAGGCCGAGGCGGGUGGAUCACAAGGUCAAGAGAUCGAGACCAUCCUGGCCAACAUGGUGAAACCUCGUCUCUAAUAAAAAUACAAAAAAAUUAGUCAGGCGUGGUGGCGAGUGCCCGUAGUCUCAGCUACUCAGGAGGCUGAGGCAGGAGAAUCACUUGAACCCAGGAGGUGGAGGUUGCAGUGAGCCGAGAUUGAGCCACUGCACUCCAGCCUGAGUGACAGAGUGAGACUCCGUCUCAAACAAACAAACAAAAAAACCUGAAAGGCAGAGUUGCUGCAGAGUUAGAUGAGGUGUGUGGAGGGGUGUGGACCCCAGCUGACUACACUCUUUACCAGCAUGCUAAUCACCUACGACGAUGUGGUGAAGAUCUCAGAUUUUGGCACUUCCAAGGAGCUGAGUGACAAGAGCACCAAGAUGUCCUUUGCAGGGACAGUAGCCUGGAUGGCCCCUGAGGUGAUCCGCAAUGAACCUGUGUCUGAGAAGGUCGACAUCUGGUCCUUUGGCGUGGUGCUAUGGGAACUGCUGACUGGUGAGAUCCCCUACAAAGACGUAGAUUCCUCAGCCAUUAUCUGGGGUGUGGGAAGCAACAGUCUCCAUCUGCCCGUGCCCUCCAGUUGCCCAGAUGGUUUCAAGAUCCUGCUUCGCCAGUGCUGGUAAGGAUGGUCUGGGCUGGGAUACUGGGCCUGGAGAAGUUGAGAAGCACGGUAGUACUGGGCUGGACUGACCAAUAAAUGGCAGGGGUACAUUUAAUUCAAAGAGACUGACUUUCAUCUGAAUCAGGCUCAUGCUACCUUCUGAGCUGAGUCACCAGGGGUAAUUGGUAUCUACUCUGAACCUGUUUCCUCAUCUAUAAAAUACACUUAACGAUAUCUGCAUUCCUGAUUUGUCAUGAAGUGCCAGUGAGUGCAUACAAGUACAAGGAAGGAGCAGCAUAACCACCAAGCAUGGUUGGUUGAGCCUCAAGUAAACAACCUUAGAACACAGAAGGAAAGGACCCCAGACCCUCAUUUGGAACCUAGACCCAGGGAAGUUUGACGAUUGCUAAUCUGUCACUGAGCAUUUCCCAAAAUGUGGUUCCUUCAAUGAAGUUAUUCAGAAAAGGCUUUUAUUUUGGGAGACAAGUUGGAAAAUAUGGGGUUCAAUAGGUUUCCUUACUGCAGGAUUUUGACACACUAAUGAAUAGUGUGUAAUAUUCUCUAGAGACAGUUGACCAUAAGUUCUUUUGUCACAGAGUACAUUCUAGGAUUGGAUUCUCCAGGACACACUUUGGGAAAGGAUGCUCCAGUUCCUAUCUGAUCCUCCCUCAAAUUCUCCCCUCUCCUUCCUAACUCCAUUCCUUUCAGGAAUAGCAAACCACGAAAUCGCCCAUCAUUCCGACAGAUCCUGCUGCAUCUGGACAUUGCCUCAGCUGAUGUACUCUCCACACCCCAGGAGACUUACUUUAAGUCCCAGGCAGAGUGGCGGGAAGAAGUAAAACUGCACUUUGAAAAGAUUAAGUCAGAAGGGACCUGUCUGCACCGCCUAGAAGAGGAACUGGUGAUGAGGAGGAGGGAGGAGCUCAGACACGCCCUGGACAUCAGGGAGCACUAUGAAAGGAAGCUGGAGAGAGCCAACAACCUGUAUAUGGAACUUAAUGCCCUCAUGUUGCAGCUGGAACUCAAGGAGAGGGAGCUGCUCAGGUAACCCUACCUGUCCUUAUGCACCAAGCCCUGGAGCUGUGCCUGCCUUAGAGGUCCUACUGAGACUGGGGUGCCCCUUCCUGGUCAUUUGCCCAGCUGAGAAGGUGCCUGGAUCUUUAGGCGAGAGCAAGCUUUAGAGCGGAGGUGCCCAGGCCUGCUGAAGCCACACCCUUCCCGGGGCCUCCUGCAUGGAAACACAAUGGAGAAGCUUAUCAAGAAGAGGAAUGUGCCACAGAAGCUGUCACCCCAUAGCAAAAGGUGGGACAUGAGUACUGUGGUUCCAAUAUGGCAAGAGGGAUACUGAAGUGGCAACAGGUAUAUUAGCAGGGAGAUGUGUACUUUAGUGUCCAAGGUUAGGGAGUGCUUUGAGUACAUAGAUUUGGCAGUCUUAACCUUUUACUUUUCCUCUUCUUCCAGGCCAGAUAUCCUCAAGACGGAGUCUUUGCUCCCUAAACUAGAUGCAGCCCUGAGUGGGGUGGGGCUUCCUGGGUGUCCUAAGGGCCCCCCCUCACCAGGACGGAGUCGCCGUGGCAAGACCCGUCACCGCAAGGCCAGCGCCAAGGGGAGCUGUGGGGACCUGCCUGGGCUUCGUACAGCUGUGCCACCCCAUGAACCUGGAGGACCAGGAAGCCCAGGGGGCCUAGGAGGGGGACCCUCAGCCUGGGAGGCCUGCCCUCCCGCCCUCCGUGGGCUUCAUCAUGACCUCCUGCUCCGCAAAAUGUCUUCAUCGUCCCCAGACCUGCUGUCAGCAGCACUAGGGUCCCGGGGCCGGGGGGCCACAGGCGGAGCUGGGGAUCCUGGCUCACCACCUCCGGCCCGGGGUGACACCCCACCAAGUGAGGGCUCAGCCCCUGGCUCCACCAGCCCAGAUUCACCUGGGGGAGCCAAAGGGGAACCACCUCCUCCAGUAGGGCCUGGUGAAGGUGUGGGGCUUCUGGGAACUGGAAGGGAAGGGACCUCAGGCCGGGGAGGAAGCCGGGCUGGGUCCCAGCACUUGACCCCAGCUGCACUGCUGUACAGGGCUGCCGUCACCCGAAGUCAGGUAAAGUAUGGGAAGGCUCCCAAGCUCUUUCCCUUUUUCCUUAUCCUCCCUGGGGUCCAAGUCUAAUCCCCCACAUUAUGCUCAAUUUUAAGCCAUUCCCUACUUCACCCUUCGUAACUAUGUUCCCUUCUCCUGGAUUCUUAGUGACCUCUUUCCACUUCUAAUCAGACCCCCCCCACCCCAUCUCUCCUGCAGAAACGUGGCAUCUCAUCGGAAGAGGAGGAAGGAGAGGUAGACAGUGAAGUAGAGCUGACAUCAAGCCAGAGGUGGCCUCAGAGCCUGAACAUGCGCCAGUCACUAUCUACCUUCAGCUCAGAGAAUCCAUCAGAUGGGGAGGAAGGCACAGCUAGUGAACCUUCCCCCAGUGGCACACCUGAAGUUGGCAGCACCAACACUGAUGAGCGGCCAGAUGAGCGGUCUGAUGACAUGUGCUCCCAGGGCUCAGAAAUCCCACUGGACCCACCUCCUUCAGAGGUCAUCCCUGGCCCUGAACCCAGCUCCCUGCCCAUUCCACACCAGGAACUUCUCAGAGAGCGGGUGAGUGGCACAACAGCAAAAAGCAGAUAUUGAACAGGGAGAGCUGUAAGCAGAUGCCUUGUCUUUUAACAGCUUUUGGGGAGACAGCUGCACAGGCCAGAAAGUACCAUAAAGAGCAAAUAUCCACGUGGUGGAAUUUCAGAAGCCUCUUGCACAGAGCAUCUAUUACGAUGCCUGACCAGUAGCUUGCAUGUAGCUAUAAAUUGCAGCCAGGGAAUGAUUCUGAAAGGAGUCUGACACCUUGGAGAAUGGCCUGAGCAACUGAAAUCUGGAAGGAAUAAAACCAGUAAGCUGGCUGGGCAUGGUGACUCACGCCUGGAAUCCCAGAACUUUGGGAGGCCGAGGCGGGUGGAUCACAAGGUCAGGAGUUCAAGACCAGCCUGACCAAUAUGGUAAAACCCCAUCUCUAUUAAAAGUACAAAAAUUAGCUGGGCGUGGUGGUGCAUGCCUGUAGUCCCAGCUACUCAGAAGGCUGAGGCAGAAGAAUUGCUUGAACCUGGGAGGCAGAGGUUGCAGUGAGCCGAGAUUGUGCUACUGCACUCCAGCCUGGGCGAGAGUGAGACUCUGUCUUAAAAAACAAAUCAGUAAGCCACUGGCUAUUAAAAUGACCCCAGCAAAGAACCCCAAGGAAUCUCACUCCAUUUCUACUCUUUCUCACAGGGCCCUCCCAAUUCUGAGGACUCAGACUGUGACAGCACUGAAUUGGACAACUCCAACAGCGUUGAUGCCUUGCGGCCCCCAGCUUCCCUCCCUCCAUGAAAGCCACUCGUAUUCCUUGUACAUAGAGAAAUAUUUAUAUAAAUUAUAUAUAUAUACAUAUAUAUAUAUAUAUGCGCCACAUAAUCAACAGAAAGAUGGGGCUGUCCCAGCCGUAAGUCAGGCUCGAGGGAGACUGAUCCCCUGACCAAUUCACCUGAUAAACUCUAGGGACACUGGCAGCUGUGGAAAUGAAUGAGGCACAGCCGUAGAGCUGUGGCUAAGGGCAAGCCCCUUCCUGCCCCACCCCAUUCCUUAUAUUCAGCAAGCAACAAGGCAAUAGAAAAGCCAGGGUUGUCUUUAUAUUCUUUAUCCCCAAAUAAUAGGGGGUGGGGGGAGGGGCGGUGGGAGGGGCAGGAGAGAAAACCACUUAGACUGCACUUUUCUGUUCCGUUUACUCUGUUUACACAUUUUGCACUUGGGAGGAGGGAGGCUAAGGCUGGGUCCUCCCCUCUGAGGUUUCUCAGGUGGCAAUGUAACUCAUUUUUUUGUCCCACCAUUUAUCUUCUCUGCCCAAGCCCUGUCUUAAGGCCCAGGGGGAGGUUAGGAGACUGAUAGCAUGUGAUGGCUCAGGCUGAAGAACCGGGGUGCUGUUUAAGUCCCUGCUUUUAUCCUGGUGCCUGAUUGGGGUGGGGACUGUCCUACUGUAACCCCUGUGAAAAACCUUGAAAUAUAACACUCCAUGCAGGCCCAGC
rnacentral:lncRNA from 1 species